UAGGGAAUCUUCGGCAAUGGACGGAAGUCUGACCGAGCAACGCCGCGUGAGUGAAGAAGGUUUUCGGAUCGUAAAGCUCUGUUGUUAGAGAAGAACGUUGGUAGGAGUGGAAAAUCUACCAAGUGACGGUAACUAACCAGAAAGGGACGGCUAACUACGUGCCAGCAGCCGCGGUAAUACGUAGGUUCCGAGCGUUGUCCGGAUUUAUUGGGCGUAAAGCGAGCGCAGGCGGUUCUUUAAGUCUGAAGUUAAAGGCAGUGGCUUAACCAUGGUACGCUUUGGGAAAUGGAGGACUUGCGUGCAGAAGGGGAGAGUGGAAUUCCAUGUGUAGCAGUGAAAUGCGUAGAUAUAUGGAGGAAGACCGAUGGCGAAAGCGGAUCUCUGGUCUGUAACUGACACUGAGGCUCGAAAGGGUGGGGAGCAAACAGG
rnacentral:rRNA from 1 species